rfam:Stegodyphus mimosarum contig46111, whole genome shotgun sequence.
GCCUUCGGGGUGUAAUGGUCAGCACGCUCGGCACGUAUUCGAGAGGUCCGUGGUUAGAGUCCCGGCGAAGGCA